rnacentral:rRNA from 1 species
GUGUCAGCAGCCGCGGUAAUACGUAGGGUGCUAGCGUUGUUCGGAAUCAUUGGGCGUAAAGCGCGUGUAGGCGGUUGGUUAAGUCGAGUGUGAAAUCCCUGGGCUCAACCGAGGAAGUGCAUUCGAAACUAACUGGCUAGAAGACGGUAGAGGAAGGUGGAAUUCCAAGUGUAGAGGUGAAAUUCGUAGAUAUUUGGAGGAAUACCGGUGGCGAAGGCGGCCUUCUGGGCCGGUCUUGACGCUGAGACGCGAAAGCGUGGGGAGCAAACAGGAUUAGAUACCCUGGUAGUCCACGCUGUAAACGAUGGGUACUAGGUGUUGCAGGAAUUGACCCCUGCAGUGCCGACGCUAACGCAUUAAGUACCCCGCCUGGGAAGUACGGCCGCAAGGUUAAAACUCAAAGGAAUUGACGG